GGACUCAUGGUGAAACUGGAUAUCACACUAGUCUUCUAAACUUGUAUUACAGGUUCGAGUCCUGUUGAGUUCGCCA
rnacentral:tRNA from 1 species